GCUUUAGUAAUUUAAAUAAAAUAUUGGUCUUGUAAACCAAAAAUAAUGUCAAUUCUAAAGCU
rnacentral:tRNA from 3 species